rnacentral:rRNA from 1 species
AGUGAACGCUGGCGGUAGGCCUAACACAUGCAAGUCGAACGGCAGCACAGUAAGAGCUUGCUCUUACGGGUGGCGAGUGGCGGACGGGUGAGGAAUACAUCGGAAUCUACUUUUUCGUGGGGGAUAACGUAGGGAAACUUACGCUAAUACCGCAUACGACCUACGGGUGAAAGCAGGGGAUCUUCGGACCUUGCUCGAUUGAAUGAGCCGAUGUCGGAUUAGCUAGUUGGCGGGGUAAAGGCCCACCAAGGCGACGAUCCGUAGCUGGUCUGAGAGGAUGAUCAGCCACACUGGAACUAAGACACGGUCCAGACUCCUACGGGAGGCAGCAGUGGGGAAUAUUGGACAAUGGGCGCAAGCCUGAUCCAGCCAUACCGCGUAGGUGAAGAAGGCCUUCGGGUUGUAAAGCCCUUUUGUUGGGAAAGAAAAGCAGCAGGUUAAUACCCCGCUGUUCUGACGGUACCCAAAGAAUAAGCACCGGCUAACUUCGUG